rnacentral:precursor_RNA from 8 species
GGGCAGGAGGACCAGACACUUUUCCUGCCCUCGAGGAGCUCACAGUCUAGUACGUCUCAUCCCCUACUAGACUGAAGCUCCUUGAGGACAGGGAUCGUCAUACUCACCUUGGUGUCG